AUUGAACGCUGGCGGCAUGCUUUACACCUGCAAGUCGAACGGUAACAGGGAGCUUGCUCCGCUGACGAGUGGCGAACGGGUGAGUAAUGCGUCGGAACGUGCCGAGUAGUGGGGGAUAACGCAUCGAAAGGUGUGCUAAUACCGCAUACGUACUGAGGUAGAAAGUGGGGGACCUUCGGGCCUUCCGCUAUUCGAGCGGCCGACGUCUGAUUAGCUAGUUGGUGAGGUAAAGGCUCACCAAGGCGACGCUCAGUAGCGGGUCUGAGAGGAUGAUCCGCCACACUGGGACUGAGACACGGCCCAGACUCCUACGGGAGGCAGCAGUGGGGAAUUUUGGACAAUGGGCGCAAGCCUGAUCCAGCCAUGCCGCGUGUCUGAAGAAGGCCUUCGGGUUGUAAAGGACUUUUGUCCGGGAGCAAAUGCCUGGUGUUAAUAGCACUGGGAGCUGAGAGUACCGGAAGAAUAAGCACCGGCUAACUACGUGCCAGCAGCCGCCGUAACAC
rnacentral:rRNA from 1 species